rnacentral:rRNA from 1 species
UACGUAGGGGGCAAGCGUUGUCCGGAAUCAUUGGGCGUAAAGAGCGCGUAGGCGGUCCGGUAAGUCCGCUCUGAAAGUUCGGGGCUCAACCCCGGGAGGCGGGCGGAUACUGUCGGGCUAGAGUCCGGAAGAGGCGAGUGGAAUUCCCGGUGUAGCGGUGAAAUGCGCAGAUAUCGGGAGGAACACCAAUGGCGAAGGCAGCUCGCUGGGACGGUACUGACGCUGAGACGCGAAAGCGUGGGGAGCAAACAGG